UUGCAUCCGUUUGGUUGGGGUGGGGAGAGGGGCGACUUUAGCCAUGGCCUCCCGGCCCCGAAGCUGGUGCAGGGCUUUGUGAAGGACAAAAUGGCGAUGGCGAGCCGUGCCGGCGGCCGUCUGUGAUGAGAAGCUUUUCACAGACCUGUGCUGAAUUCCGUGAGGAUAAGAAACUCUGAGACUGGCCUUGCACAGCCGAUGCAGUCGUCGUUCCGGAAAACAAAGCGUUAGCGAAAUGCUUAGCGCUGACCUAACGUCCUCUUUGUCUGCAGGGUCUGCGCGCGUUCGGACGCUGAAGCACCGCAACAUCCCUCGUUCGAGUAUGGUUCCGUUCAAAAGAGCUUACAGGUUGGAGGAUGGGACAAGGCCUGUCCCUGUGCAAAUGAAUCAUUGCAGUGAUGCCCCGCAUCUCACUACCAAUCCUGAGGAAGUCAACUGCCUCCCAGGGUGACUACAGGUUGUCCUGGUGACGAUAUAUUCAGCUAUCUUAAUGAUCCCCAUUGAUCUACCCGGGGUUGAUCUCGUGGAAAGACUUGGAGGUGGAGCAGCUGAGUCCUGUAUACUACUGAAAAGCCUCCAGAGUUGAAAGGUACUGUAACCAGUAACCUGCUGUUUACUCAGAGGUCCAGCACCUUCUGGAGUUCAAAGAAUGACUUAAGGAGAAACGUAAGCUGUAUUUCUGCUCAGCUUCAGUUUGCAGUUAGAGGUCUAAAAAAAGAACAAAGCAUGUAUAAUGGAAUCCAACUCUUUGAAGACAUGAAAAAGGAAUUUUCAAGCAAUUUCUUGUACAGUCUAGCUGUUCAAUUUUGCAUAUAAUCAUUUCAGUCUUUAAAAAUAAAAGGGUUUUUUAUCCUUUGCUGUGA